ensembl:snRNA U6 U6 spliceosomal RNA
GUGCUUGCUUAGGCAGCACAUACACUAAAAGUGGCACGAUACGGAGAAGAUCAGGAUGGCCCCUGCACGAGGAGGACACGGACAUUUGUGAAGUGUUGUCAUUUUCA